GUGGGCCCUCGAAAUCCUGUGGCGGGAGUAUUCAGUCGGGACGGCGGGGCGGGCGAUCGGAAUACGAACCGAGAAGGUUCCCGCGACGGGGCCGUUCCGGCGCCCGAUCCCUGUCGACCCGACGCAUUUGUUUCCCGCCCGAAGGACGCCGCAACCGGUUGGCGAGACGGCCUUAAGGGCGAGAGCCGGCAGGUGGCCGGUGGCACGCGCUUCCCUGCGGGCCGCCGGUUGUUAGCCAUCUCGUCGCACGGCACGUCUCCCGACCGUGGAAAGAGAGAUGCCCCUGAAAUGGGCUUCGACGUCUCCUCCUGUAAAAGGCAGCGGGCAAGACGCGUGACAGGAGACUCGAUGCCCUGCGGGCGCACGGACUGACUCCGUGGCCCAGCGUCGCGUCGUCUUCGUUGGUCGCGCAAGGCCCGCCGGAGUGACAGACGGUUGGCGGCGAGUAGAUCGGUCACCCACCUGACCCGUCUUGAAACACGGACCAAGGAGUGUAACAUGUAUGCGAGUCCCAGGGUCUUGAACAGGCCCGGGAGGCGCAAUGAAAGCAAAGGCCGGAGGACUCCGGCCGUGUUGGGAUCCCCGCUCCUUGAGCGGGCGGGGCGCACCAACGACCCGUCCUGUUCCACUUGUGGAUUGGGCGGAGUCUGAGCAUACACGUUGCCACCCGAAAGAUGGUGAACUAUGCCCGGGCAGGACGAGGCCAGAGGAAACUCUGGUGGAGGUCCGUAGCGGUUCUGACGUGCAAAUCGAUCGUCAGAUCCGGGUCUAGG
rnacentral:rRNA from 1 species